AUUGAACGCUGGCGGCAUGCCUUACACAUGCAAGUCGAACGGCAGCACGGGAGCAAUCCUGGUGGCGAGUGGCGAACGGGUGAGUAAUAUAUCGGAACGUGCCCAGUAGUGGGGGAUAACUGCUCGAAAGAGCAGCUAAUACCGCAUACGACCUGAGGGUGAAAGGGGGGGAUCGCAAGACCUCUCGCUAUUGGAGCGGCCGAUAUCAGAUUAGCUAGUUGGUGGGGUAAAGGCCUACCAAGGCAACGAUCUGUAGUUGGUCUGAGAGGAUGAUCAGUCACACUGGAACUGAGACACGGUCCAGACUCCUACGGGAGGCAGCAGUGGGGAAUAUUGGACAAUGGGCGAAAGCCUGAUCCAGCCAUGCCGCGUGUGUGAAGAAGGUCUUCGGGUUGUAAAGCACUUUAAGUCGGGAGGAAGGGCUGCAGGUUAAUACCUUGCAGUCUUGACGUUACCGACAGAAUAAGCACCGGCUAACUUCGUGCCAGCAGCCGCCGUAAGAC
rnacentral:rRNA from 1 species